rnacentral:lncRNA from 1 species
AGUUGUCACUUGGUGGUGGUUGAGGAGCAGGAGUCUCAGAACCACCAGGUGAAGGGGUGGUGGAAGGAGUCGGUGGAGGAGAGGAAGUAGGGGAAGUUGGUGCCGGAGAUGAUGGAGAAGGAGAUGGAGAGGUUUUCGGGGAUGGUUUAGGAGCUGGUGAUGAUGGAGAUGGAGAAGGUGACGGUGUUGGUGCUGAUUUUGGUGACGGUGUUGGUGCUGGUUUUGGUGACGGUGUUGGUGCUGAUUUUGGUGGUGGAGUUGGUGAAGUUCCUGGUGC